AUGACUGUUGAGCCUUCGCGCAAGAUUCCUUCUUCUUCUUCAUUAAAGUUGCGGACGGCGCCGAUCUCAGACUCAACUUCCUUCACCGCUCUCAGACUUCUUCACCUCUCAAACAUAUUCACCGUUUUAACUCCAUCAUCGGCCGCUUCAACCUCGACCUCACAAUCGCGAUCAACAAUGUCUCUCAUCUCCGAUCCGCCGGAAAUCAGUCCAACGCUUCUGCAAGCUCGACGAUGA